GACGAACGCUGGCGGCGUGCUUAACACAUGCAAGUCGAACGGAAAGGCCCCUUUGGGGGUACUCGAGUGGCGAACGGGUGAGUAACACGUGAGUAACCUGCCCUUGACUUCGGGAUAACUUCAGGAAACUGGGGCUAAUACCGGAUAGGAAUCCUUGCUGCAUGGUGGGGGUUGGAAAGCUUCGGCGGUUUUGGAUGGACUCGCGGCUUAUCAGCUUGUUGGUGGGGUAGUGGCUUACCAAGGCUUUGACGGGUAGCCGGCCUGAGAGGGCGACCGGCCACAUUGGGACUAAGAUACGGCCCAGACUCCUACGGGAGGCAGCAGUGGGGAAUAUUGCACAAUGGGCGGAAGCCUGAUGCAGCAACGCCGCGUGCGGGAUGACGGCCUUCGGGUUGUAAACCGCUUUCAGCAGGGGCGAAGCUUGUGGUGACGGUACCUGCAGAAGAAGCACCGGCUAACUACGUG
rnacentral:rRNA from 1 species